CAGUAGCCGCGGUAAUACGUAGGUCCCGAGCGUUGUCCGGAUUUAUUGGGCGUAAGGCGAGCGCGGGCGGUUAGAUAAGUCUGAAGUUAAAGGCUGUGGCUUAACCAUAGUACGCUUUGGAAACUGUUUAACUUGAGUGCAAGAGGGGAGAGUGGAAUUCCAUGUGUAGCGGUGAAAUGCGUAGAUAUAUGGAGGAACACCGGUGGCGAAAGCGGCUCUCUGGCUUGUAACUGACGCUGAGGCUCGAAAGCGUGGGGAGCAAACAGGAUUAGAUACCCCCGUAGUCCCUGUCUCUUAUACA
rnacentral:rRNA from 1 species